GAUGAACGCUGGCGGCGUGCCUAAUACAUGCAAGUCGAGCGAACAGACGAGGAGCUUGCUCCUUUGACGUUAGCGGCGGACGGGUGAGUAACACGUGGGUAACCUACCUAUAAGACUGGGAUAACUUCGGGCAACCGGAGCUAAUACCGGAUAAUAUUUCGAACCGCAUGGUUCGAUAGUGAAAGAUGGCUCUGCUAUCACUUAUAGAUGGACCUGCGCCGUAUUAGCUAGUUGGUAAGGUAACGGCUUACCAAGGCAACGAUACGUAGCCGACCUGAGAGGGUGAUCGGCCACACUGGAACUGAGACACGGUCCAGACUCCUACGGGAGGCAGCAGUAGGGAAUCUUCCGCAAUGGGCGAAAGCCUGACGGAGCAACGCCGCGUGAGUGAUGAAGGUCUUCGGAUCGUAAAACUCUGUUAUUAGGGAAGAACAAACGUGUAAGUAACUGUGCACGUCUUGACGGUACCUAAUCAGAAAGCCACGGCUAACUACGUG
rnacentral:rRNA from 1 species